rnacentral:tRNA from 1 species
GGAAGCGUCGCAUAGUGGUCGAGUGCGCUCGCUUGGAAAGCGGGUAAGGUGAAAGCCUUCGAGGGUUCGAAUCCCUCCGCUUCCGCCA